CACUCCUGCGGGAGGCAGCAGUGGGGAAUAUUGGACAAUGGGCGCAAGCCUGAUCCAGCCAUGCCGCGUGAGUGAUGAAGGCCCUAGGGUUGUAAAGCUCUUUCACCGGUGAAGAUAAUGACGGUAACCGGAGAAGAAGCCCCGGCUAACUUCGUGCCAGCAGCCGCGGUAAUACGAAGGCCGCUAGCGUUGUUCGGAUUUACUGGGCGUAAAGCGCACGUAGGCGGACUAUUAAGUCAGGGGUGAAAUCCCGGGGCUCAACCCCGGAACUGCCUUUGAUACUGGUAGUCUUGAGUUCGAGAGAGGUUAGUGGAAUUCCGAGUGUAGAGGUGAAAUUCGUAGAUAUUCGGAGGAACACCAGUGGCGAAGGCGGCUCACUGGCUCGAUACUGACGCUGAGGUGCGAAAGCGUGGGGAGCAAACAGGAUUAGAUACCCCGGUAGUCCC
rnacentral:rRNA from 1 species